rnacentral:rRNA from 1 species
ACGAACGCUGGCGGCGUGCUUAACACAUGCAAGUCGAACGGUGAAGCGCCUUCCUUUUUGGUGGGUGUGGAUGAGUGGCGAACGGGUGAGUAACACGUGAGUAACCUGCCCCCUUCUUCUGGAUAACCGCAUGAAAGUGUGGCUAAUACGGGAUAUUCUGGGUCUGUCGCAUGAUGGGUCUGGGAAAGAUAUUGUUUCGGUGGGGGAUGGGCUCGCGGCCUAUCAGCUUGUUGGUGGGGUGAUGGCCUACCAAGGCAGUGACGGGUAGCCGGCCUGAGAGGGUGGACGGUCACACUGGGACUGAGACACGGCCCAGACUCCUACGGGAGGCAGCAGUGGGGAAUAUUGCACAAUGGGCGCAAGCCUGAUGCAGCGACGCCGCGUGAGGGAUGGAGGCCUUCGGGUUGUGAACCUCUUUCGCCAGUGAAGCAGGCCUGCCUCGUUUGUGGGUGGGUUGACGGUAGCUGGAUAAGAAGCGCCGGCUAACUACGUG